GAUGAACGCUGGCGGCGUGCUUAACACAUGCAAGUCGAACGAAGCACUUUAUUUUAUUUCCUUCGGGACUGAUUAUUUUUUGACUGAGUGGCGGACGGGUGAGUAACGCGUGGGUAACCUGCCUUGUACAGGGGGAUAACAUUUGGAAACAGCUUCUAAUACCGCAUAAGCGCACAGCAUCGCAUUAUGCAGUUUGAAAAACUCCGGUGGUAUAAGAUGGACCCGCGUUGGAUUAGCUAGUUGGUGAGGUAACGGCCCACCAAGGCGACGAUCCAUAGCCGACCUGAGAGGGUGACCGGCCACAUUGGGACUGAGACACGGCCCAAACUCCUACGGGAGGCAGCAGUGGGGAAUAUUGCACAAUGGGCGAAAGCCUGAUGCAGCGACGCCGCGUGAGCGAAGAAGUAUUUAGGUAUGUAAAGCUCUAUCAGCAGGGAAGAUAAUGACGGUACCUGACGAAGAAGCACCGGCUAAAUACGUG
rnacentral:rRNA from 1 species